rnacentral:rRNA from 1 species
GACAGAGGGGCAGCGUUGCUCGGAAUUACUGGGCGUAAAGGGCGCGCAGGCGGUCCGUUUAGUCCGAGGUGAAAUCUCCUGGCUCAACUGGGAGCGGUCUUUGGAUACUGGCGGGCUUGAGGUGAGCAGGAGGUGAGUGGAAUUCUGGUGUAGUGGUGAAAUGCGUAGAUAUCCAGAGGAACACCAGUGGCGAAGGCGACUCACUGGGCUCCACCGACGCUGAGGCGACGAAAGCGUGGGGAGCGAACAGG